rnacentral:rRNA from 1 species
CUACGGGACGCAGCAGUGAGGAAUUUUGUGCAAUGGGGGAAACCCUGACGCAGCAACGCCGCGUGAGCGAAGAAGGCCUUCGGGUCGUAAAGCUCUGUCAAGUGGGAAAAAAAUUCUUUGAUGAACAGUCAAAGGACUUGAUGGUACCACUGGAGGAAGCACCGGCUAACUCCGUGCCAGCAGCCGCGGUAAUACGGAGGGUGCAAGCGUUGUUCGGAAUUACUGGGCGUAAAGAGCGUGUAGGCGGUUUGACAAGUCAGAUGUGAAAGCCCCGGGCUCAACCCGGGAAGUGCAUUUGAAACUGUUUCACUAGAGUAUGGGAGAGGAGAUUGGAAUUCCUGGUGUAGAGGUGAAAUUCGUAGAUAUCAGGAGGAACACCCGUGGCGAAGGCGAUUCUCUGGACCAAUACUGACGCUGAGACGCGAAAGCGUGGGGAGCAAACAGGAUUAGAUACCCUAGUGGUC